ACGUCAACCUGCAGAAGGAAAGGCCAGUUUGCAUUUUUUUCACGCUCGAAGGUCACGGAGAUCAUUAUACGUAAAACGUGUCAUGCCGUGGUGUAAGAGGUUGGGUGAAAACGAGACGUGUUGCUUCAUUAUCAAGUAGGUACAAUAGCCGCAAGGCUUAGGAGGUGAAUAAGGGUGAGAAAAAAUCGUAUAAAAGGAGAGACAAAAGGCUACAGGAAUCAGUCGAGUGAGAAUCUCUGACACGGCAGCAACUGCAGCGAUCUAGUAGUCGUCAUCAACUAUGUUCUUCGUCAAAUUACCAGUUUGCAAUCAUGGUCAAAUAAAAGGAGAAAGAAGAGGCGAAAGACAGUCAAGUCCGACACGGCUACAACUGCAGUGCGCUAGUCGUCAUUAUAACUGUAUUCUUCGUCGUAUUACCAGUUUGCAAUCAUGGUAAACUAUGACGUCGUGCUGCUGUUCGGUGUUGAUUGUAUCGUUGAUUACUGGGUCGACUACGGGUAUACCGAUGUCUCCUGGGUAUGGCAGGUAUCAAACCUCAACGCCACCGCCUUACUACACGACAUCAUACGCAACGACCAGUUACUACACCGAGGCACCGGAGUACCACACAACUGUGUAUGCUGCACCAGCUUACUACACUGAGGCUCCCAAGUACUACACCACCAAGGCACCGGAGUA